AACCAUAGAAACCUGCGGAGUACCUGCGGAGGGAUCAUUACGAGAGUGUCACCACUCCCAACCCAUUGUUUACCUACCCGUCCACCGUGCUUCGGCAGGCAGCCCUGUGGGACAGAGCCUCGCCCCCUUUCGCGGGGGGUGCCUGCCGCUUGCCAACCAAAACUCUAGCUGUUUUAGUACCAUCUGAGUCUUCCACAAAUGAACAAAACUUUUAACAACGGAUCUCAGAUCGGAAGAGCA
rnacentral:misc_RNA from 1 species